rnacentral:rRNA from 1 species
GACGAACCGUGCGAACGUUAUUCGGAAUCACUGGGCUUAAAGCGCGUGUAGGCGGAUGGGUACGUCGGGCGUUGAAAGCCCCCGGCUCAACCGGGGAAUGGGCGCCGAAACGACCCGUCUGGAGGGACGUAGGGGGACCUGGAACUUCCGGUGGAGCGGUGAAAUGCGUUGAGAUCGGAAGGAACGCCCGUGGCGAAAGCGAGGUCCUGGACGUCUACUGACGCUGAGACGCGAAAGCUAGGGUAGCGAACGGG